rnacentral:lncRNA from 1 species
CUGUCUUGAUGACGCACAGUGCUGGCGCAAGUCGUCUUGCGCCAGGCGACUGGGUCUGAGGAGGCAGGAGUUAUUCAUUCCCUUAAGCUUUCAGGCCGGGGGGAGAAUCUUUCAGGUGGUAGCUGCAAGAACUCUUAGUAUGUUGACCUCACCUCUGCCUUCCACAUACCACUACCAGUGAGGAAUUAGGAAUGCAUGAGAAGAGUGUCCAAGAAGAGUGUCCUCAUUCAUGCAAGGCUUAAGAGAGAAUGCAGGUCAACAUCACCAUGUCAAUCAGAGAAUACUUCUGUUGGGUUGAAUGACUCUCUGCCCCCAGCGUAGUUUGGAACCAGCAGCAGCAGCAGCUCCCCAGACCUACUGAAUCAGAA